rnacentral:rRNA from 1 species
CCGGUAAACGGCGGCCGUAACUAUAACGGUCCUAAGGUAGCGAAAUUCCUUGUCGGGUAAGUUCCGACCUGCACGAAUGGCGUAAUGAUGGCCAGGCUGUCUCCACCCGAGACUCAGUGAAAUUGAACUCGCUGUGAAGAUGCAGUGUACCCGCGGCAAGACGGAAAGACCCCGUGAACCUUUACUAUAGCUUGACACUGAACAUUGAGCCUUGAUGUGUAGGAUAGGUGGGAGGCUUUGAAGUGUGGACGCCAGUCUGCAUGGAGCCGACCUUGAAAUACCACCCUUUAAUGUUUGAUGUUCUAACGUUGACCCGUAAUCCGGGUUGCGGACAGUGUCUGGUGGGUAGUUUGACUGGGGCGGUCUCCUCCUAAAGAGUAACGGAGGAGCACGAAGGUUGGCUAAUCCUGGUCGGACAUCAGGAGGUUAGUGCAAUGGCAUAAGCCAGCUUGACUGCGAGCGUGACGGCGCGAGCAGGUGCGAAAGCAGGUCAUAGUGAUCCGGUGGUUCUGAAUGGAAGGGCCAUCGCUCAACGGAUAAAAGGUACUCCGGGGAUAACAGGCUGAUACCGCCCAAGAGUUCAUAUCGACGGCGGUGUUUGGCACCUCGAUGUCGGCUCAUCACAUCCUGGGGCUGAAGUAGGUCCCAAGGGUAUGGCUGUUCGCCAUUUAAAGUGGUACGCGAGCUGGGUUUAGAACGUCGUGAGACAGUUCGGUCCCUAUCUGCCGUGGGCGCUGGAGAACUGAGGGGGGC